rnacentral:rRNA from 1 species
ACGGAGGGUGCGAGCGUUGUCCGGAAUCAUUGGGCGUAAAGGGCGCGUAGGUGGCACGAUCAGCGUGCGGUGAAAGCUCGGGGCUCAACCCCGAGUCGGCCGUGCGAACUACUGAGCUUGAGCACUGUAGAGGCAGGCGGAAUUCCGGGUGUAGCGGUGGAAUGCGUAGAGAUCCGGAAGAACACCGGUGGCGAAGGCGGCCUGCUGGGCAGUUGCUGACACUGAGGCGCGACAGCGUGGGGAGCAAACAGGAUUAGAUACCCUGGUAGUCCACGCCGUAAACGAUGGGCACUAGGCGCUUGGGGGAGCGACCCCCCGAGGGCCGGCGCUAACGCAUUAAGUGCCCCGCCUGGGGAGUACGGCCGCAAGGCUG